AGGAGAAAAGGAAGUUAGACAUUUCCUUAUUAAGAAACCCACAGCCAGAGCUAUACUCUCUUAUCCAAGGAUUGCAAACCAACAGCCCAUGGGCCAAGAUGUGUUUUAACAGGAGAGUUCACAUGGAAAUCAGGCUUUCUGGCAUCUGUUGAAAGAUCAUAGGCUCUGGCAACAUCUGGCAAGUGUUCCUACAGGGUAACAGCAGCUGUCUUCUUUAUAAGGACCCUGCAGACCCCACCACUCCCUGACCUGAUGUGUGACCCCAGCCAUCCCGCUGCCCUGUUAACUCGCUUGGCUCAGGUAGGUGCUGCUCCUAACAAGGCCCUUUCGUUAGGAAACAGCUGGAAGAGCCCACAUUUAGUUGGGCCUUCAGGCUCUUCAGCUGUGGGCAUUGAUUUGCAUUGAUCCACCAGCACGGCCCCAACUGGUGGACGGGUUUUGCCCAAAGCAAUGAGUCGGAGAAGAAUAUAAAUGCCCCUCAUUGCUCCCUCGACAAUUAACAGGAGGAGAAAGGACCAUUUCUCUUUAACCACAACCAACAACAGCCGCCAGACCUAAAUUACAUACCAUGUUUUCUUCCCUCUCCUUUCUGUUCUAUAGUAUCCACCCAUUUGUACCAAGCAUAUAUCAAAAAAUUCUCACAACAUUAAAGGGGAGUAAACCUGCUAAAGCGGGAGGCAGCUUCCCAGACAGGCCGUGUGGAAGAAAGGUUUGAUUUUUGUCUCCGGUGCUUUCCACAUGGAGAGCCCUCGACGACAACAGGAACUCAUGGUGACUCCCAGGCAAAGCCCAAGCUUCAAGUGCCUUAGGCGGAAGACUAGCCCGUCUUCAAUAUGAUCCUGAUUUACAUUUUUUCUUCUCCUUUGAAAACAGAUUAUAUAUGGCACCUCUUUGUGGCACAGAGAACCAAAUUCUCAGUCAUGCAUUCUACAUGAACAGGAGCUUACGACACCAUCUCUGGCUAAACAACACACAAUAGACCUUUCAGAGGUGGCGCAACCUCAUCACAACAGCUCCAAAGGAUGAAGAAAUUGGGAGUCAAAGCUUCGGCACCGCACUCAUUUGCAAAACACCGCCCAGCGUGCAACAGAUCACACCUCUGCCUCAGGUAAGAGGCACCGGCCCUUUAGACCGACUGGACACCUCGCUAAGCCUGGCUGCUGAAAACUGCAUCCUGUUCAAAUUUAUAACAAGGACCCUGUUAAAACUUCUCAGUUCCAUUUACUACCCAGACUCGAGCAGCCUAACAAGUCCUGAACAAACCAAGAAGAAAUAUCGAGAAGGCUGCUUAGUGAGCCCAGUUUAUAGCCCAGAAAUUUUUACAUAAUCAAAACCUGUGGACUUACACAGGCUCACAAAGUAGAUGAGAUUGCUAAAGAUAGGUGAAAAUACCAUCUCCAUUACCGCCCUGUAAAAAUCUCCCCAAGCUUUCCCCAAUAAACACACUUGGAUGGAAACAAGAAAAACCUCUUUUGUCAAAUUCAAGGACAAGUGAUUUCAAACUAAAAUCCCUUUGUCUACUUUUUUUUUGUCCCUUUCAUUACUUCUCUGCUGCCAAAAAAUAUCCCCUUCUAAUUUUCAACUAGGAUCACUCCUGUCUUCAGUUAAAGCGACAAUCUAGAAUGAGCAGGUCCCACACACUCCCAAUAAUUUAUUUCCCUUUUCCCAAACGAUAUAAAAAUCUUCCUUUCAUCCCGGCCCAUUGAUUUUCAGAAGUGAAGCUGUAACAUUUAAGUACUGACUCAAAUAAGCAGUCCAUUUGCUGAGUAUUUUGACAGCAACCAUUUCGAGAGGUUUAUCCACUGAGGAUAGAAAACAAAGUUCCUUUUAGAAAUAGAUUUAAUUUUCUAAGAGAAAUGCAAUGAUCUGAGUUUUCUAUUCUGCCACAUGACAUUUUUCCUUCCAAAGCCAGCUGUUCCCAAAAACAUGACUGGACCACACAGACCAGUCUACACACCCCACCCCACAGUGGGCUGGCACUCCCCUGGACCAGUUUGGAAUGACGGUCCCUGUGGGCUGCACUGCCCCACCAAGGUGGCAGCUGAGGCCUCUCAGCAUCAGGACUGGUGGUUCUUCCCCAGAUCUGAUCCCGUGUGUGCCUCCCCCACGAGACGUUUUAAAUUUAAAAACUGGAGUAAAGGCAAUGCAGGACUGUCCAAGAAGGGAGGAACUUGCCCAUUUCUCUCCGACCUUUGCUUGUUUCCUGCUGGUUUUCCUUUCUCAAAAUAUAGCCAAUACCAACAACGGAAAACCUGCCACUCCUCAAAGGGAAGUGGAGUAUAACGACCUACACAGACCCUGCUCAUAAAUGAACAGUCUGCAAUCAGGCGCCUCCACUUCUGCCCCCAUCUUGGCAGGCAAACCAUGGAGAUAUGGUGAGAAUUCCUAACAUUUUCAGGAAGCCGUGCUUCAAAGGUAGAAGAAAGGCAGCACAGCCUAGAGAAGCUAAAGCAUGGCUUAGAUCUGCAUGCUGGGCUGGGUCCUUCCUACGCAGAGCUGGCCUCCACAUUCAUAUUUCUAAUCUCACUCAAAUUUCACACAUUUGUAAUUUUGACUGAUACUUUAUUGUUUGGGGGUGGGGGAAAUGCAAAUAUAUGUGGGGAGAUUGAAGCCAUCAGUCAUUUCCAUGCUAGUAUGAAUUAGUCCCAAUUGCUUUCUCCUAAGAGUUAGUCAUGCUUGGAUUCUCUGAAGGAAGGGGAAUACUCAUUAGAUGGGAAAGUAGUAGGAAAUGCUGCAGCCUCUGACAUGCUAAGGAGGCUGAGCCCUAAGGCUUAGGGCAGAAUGAUUGGGAAAACACUUAUGGAGAGAAGAGCACGUAUUAAAAGGGAAGGGGUGGAAAUGCCUAAGACAAACUUGGCGUGUUUUUUGUGUGUUUAGCCCCUUAAGGUUUGCUCCCUGAACUACAAGCCUCAGCCAAAUGGCACUGCAGUUCCUGACAAUAUGAGCUAGCUGGGUUUCUGGGAACCAGCCCACAACAGUUCUAAGGGUAAAAUAUCUCUCAAGUCCCCAAACACUGGAUUAUAAAGCCAGCCUCUGAUCGGAGUUAGAUACAGUCUGUAACAAGGUCCUGCUAGCUUAGAAGGAAGUUAGGACAAGAGGGAAGUCCAAACAUAGGUACACCUCCAGGGUGCCCGCCCCCGACACCCCCUGUAGGUAUUCAGGCCUAGAAGAAAGCAAGCCAGGCAUGAUGGAGAGAUGCACAGCAGGCAACUGCUGAGGCUUCCUCCUCCCCAAAUCCUCUCACCAUCAGGAAAUAGGUAGCAGCAAUCCAACUGCUCCCAAAGGAUACAAAAACCGCUAUUGGAAAGAUGCAGCCCCAGAAGAAAAAAUAAAGCACAAAAAUUAUAAUAAAUCUCCCCAGGUAACCCUCUGAUUUAUUCAAUAAAAAUGACUCAUUCAUCAUUAACUCUUUGCCAUCAGGAAUAGGUCAGACAAAAGAAUGUCACACUGACUUUCAGCUUUCAAUGCCACACAGCACUGGGUUCUUUGGGGGACAAGGCUCAUCCUAACAGAGAGGCUGUGUGUGGUAUGCGAUGCUUUCACACAGUGACAGUUUAUGAACACUGAACGCUUUCACGCCAUAACAUAAUGGAAAAUGAAAUCCAGUUGACCAGUGAAAAAUAACCUUAAGAAGGAAUUCAGAAGGGCUUUUCAUACUUGAGCAUGAGCUACAAAACGAUGCUAAAUAUUAACUCACCCUAGCACUUUUUCCCUCCUGUCAUCUCGUGGGGUGGGGAGACACAGGCCAGCUUUUACAGAUGACCUGCAAUGCUACAAAAAUAAGCUCAGCCCACAAUUUUGUCUUUCUUCAAUACAAAAUGUUUAAAUCCUACAACAUCAGUUGCCGAGGGAAAGGUAAUUAACGCGACCUAUAAUAAAACUAUGUUUUGCUGGGUGCUCGUGAUGUCAGCAAUCAGCAGCUCUAAAAUGCUAUCUAGUGAUGUGAGAACAGGAGGAGAAACUGCAACAAAGGUGCAGAACUCCUUGCAAUUGGAGCGGCUCCAGUUCUCGCCGAGCAUCUCUGCCGAUUCUCUGAGAACUGCCGUUUCCAUGCCAUUCUAUUUCACACGCUACCGUUUAAAAUUUCUAAGAGGAAAGAGAUCGUGCAUCCGAACACUAAACUGGAAUAAAAAUGUAUAGGAGAUACUAAGAAUAGGACAGAAACCUGCUAAGACUAAAAUAUAAAAAUCCGCCACAGCCAGCAAAAUAAGGCUUCCAAGAAAUGGGGGUGGAGAUGGCGAUGAGCCGGCUUCCCCGGAAGGGCCUGGCUGCAAGAAUCCCGCUUCGGCCACUAGCUGGUUUCAGCAGAACCACUGAGACUUUUUGAGGGGGCCGACUUGGAUUCAGCAAGAAGCAGAAAAGGUGUAGACGUGGCCGUGGCCAAGAACAAGGUUCCCUCUUAGCCAAAAGGAAACGAGGAAGGGAGGGAAAGAAGGAUGUAGGAGGAGGGAGACAGAAAUGAACAGGAAUCUCUCCCGUUUCAUGCGGGGAACUCAAAGGGACACCGGCUGACGGUCGGAAGGUAGGGUUUGGCCUCCCAGGAAAGGGACGUUUGCGGGGCUCCGGGGCAGUCUCUUGGGAGGGGUUCUGAAGGCGCUGGAGACGCGCGCUCUGGGAACCACCAGGUUUCAGUGGCAUCCAUCCACAUGAGCUGAGUGGCCCAGACCCAAGUGUCCCAGUCCUCUGUCCCCGUGAUCAGACAGCGGGGCAGUGACCCACGGUCAACUGGGUCCCCUGUAAGGGAGGGUCGGGGGCCUCUCGACUCCCCUUCGCCGGGGCGGGCACCCUGGCGGCCGCCGAGUAAACUCCUCGAAGCUAAAACCGCCGUGGGAAGUUCUCCCGGGGAGCCAGCGCGGGUCGCAGGGGGCUCGGGAAGGAGGAUGCACCGAGCUCAGGUCCCUCCGAGAAGAGAGACCAUGGAAAGACAAAGUAAUUGGAAACUUCAACGCAGUCACCAGAAGAGUGACAUUCAUCAACAAUGUAAAUGUCUCCAGAUCCUUAAUCCUGGGAAUCCACACAGGAAAGAGAAGAAAGAUCAAGAAGCCAGGGGGAACAAAGCAGGCAGUAAGAGCCUCCACUGGAAUGAAAGUCAUCAUUACUCGUGGUGGAGCUGCCAGCAAGGGUCAUGAGUUCUGAGGACAUUGCACAUAAGAGUCCACGGAGUCGUCACAACCCCAUAAAGCAGGUAUUAUCAGCAUCCCAUCUUAAAGAUAAAGAAACUGAGGCUCGGGUUGAAUAGCAUUGCUAACCAACCCAAGAGCGGGUCUCCCAGGCCUUGCCCUUAACCACUACCCUACAUGGCCACUCUGGCGGAUCUAGAAAUGGCCAAAAGCAUGGCUUCUCCACUUGACUCCCUGCAUCAGAUUUCAGAUUAAAGUAUACUUGUUUUA